CAGGCCUAACACAUGCAAGUCGAGCGGGUAGCAAUACCAGCGGCAAACGGGUGCGUAACGCGUAAGCAACCUGCCCACUACUGGGGGAUAGCCUUGCGAAAGCGGGGGUAAACCCGCAUGGUCCUUUUCUUUCACCUGGGAGGAUAGGUAAACAUUUAUGGGUAGUGGAGGGGCUUGCGUCUGAUUAGCUAGUUGGCGGGGUAAGGGCCCACCAAGGCGACGAUCAGUAGGGGUUCUGAGAGGAUUGGCCCCCACAUGGGUACUGAGACACGGACCCAACUCCUACGGGAGGCAGCAGUAGGGAAUAUUGGGCAAUGGAGGCAACUCUGACCCAGCCAUGCCGCGUGCAGGAUGAAGGCGCUCAGCGUUGUAAACUGCUUUUAACUGGGAAGAACGGCAUUUUUGCGAAGAUGUGUGACGGUACCAGUGGAAUAAGCACCGGCUAACUUCGUGCCAGCAGCCGC
rnacentral:rRNA from 1 species